CGCGCGGGGCACCCAGUCCUGGGCUGCGCCUCCGUCCUCCUGCGCGACCGCACUCUGCUCAGUCCUGUAUCAAACUCCUUCUGUGGGGAGGCUCUCGCCCGCGUGGGGCAGCUCGCGUUUCGCCCCCCGCCGCCCCGAGACAUCCUGCCUCCACCUGGAGCCUAGGCCUGAGGGCUGUUAGCAGAACUAGAGAUACGGACCAACAAAUCGGUUUGGAACCCCCCCCUCCGGCCCCAGGGGCUGACAUGUUUCUGGGCCCUGAGGGUUGCUCUUAACUUGCUGUUGCCGUUUCUUACUUGCUUUGCAGAGUAAAGGGGGUCAUUACACCCACCGACAGCGCCAGAGUAACUGGUCUGCACUGGCACAGGCAGAAGAAUAUUUACUUACUCGGAGGGAGUCUACGCUGGGUACAGAUCAACACAGACACGUGGAUGGACAUGAUCAUGACGAAGUCUGAGCAGAGCAGUCGUUUUACCCGCUUCCGGUCCUCUGUGAUCUAGGCUGCUACUGCGGAGAUGAACCUGCCACAGACGCAACAGGAUUCAGCAAGACUCCAAGAGGGCUGAAUUCGUUCUAGAUUACAAAGCUUGUUUGACUUCCAGACUGGUUCUUAAUCUUCUUCUGUCCCUAAACAUCUGAGGUUACUUCCUACAACAGUGACUUUUCAAGAGAAGGCCAUGCUUACAAGCCUCCCGUGUGUGGGACACUGUGAAUUAAUUUAGGAUCACUCUAAGCUGGUUCUGUGGAUGCUGGCAGCCAGGCUCCUAUCUCCUAGGCAGGAGACCGAAGGAACCCACUUCAGUGAAAAUGACCAGCCCAAAACAUAAUGACAGCGGGGAGUUACCAUGCAAAUCUCAGCCACUCUGACUGACUGGUAUCUACCAGUCAAUCAAAAUUCUCUGACCAUGCACACAGCUUCUGAUGGGCUUUUGAGGGCCAUACUAAAGGGAUGGGAGGAUAAACUUUAAUGAUACAACCAAAAAUGGAGCAGCGGAAACAGUGCCAAGGAAAGAAGAAAAUGUCAAAGUCUUAACGGAGACAACAAGAGAUACUGCAGUCAUGAAACAAGAACAGAUUCAGGAAAAUGAAGACUGGAAUAUAAGAGCCGUAGAAAACUGAAAAUUUUGACAGCAGAGAUCAAAAUCAAAAGGAGGGUUGAGUGAUAAAACAGGAAAUCUCAAAAGAAGGAAAAUAGGAAAGAGGAGAGAAGAUAAAAUAAUAGGGUCAGUAGGUUCUACAUCAGUUACAAAUGAGGAGGAAGAGAGAUUGUGGAAGAAAUUACAGGGCACUUCUCAGACUAAAGGACGUGGAUUUCCAGGGUUAGAGGACCUACUGAGUACUCAACAGAAUACAUGAAAAAGAGCCACACUGAGCCGCUGAAUCAUGAUAUUUCAAAACACUCUGGAGAAACAACAUGCCGUAGACAAAGAAUCAAGAUUAGAUUAUAGACAGAACUGGACUUUUCCACAGAAACACUGAAUGCCAAAGACAACAGAGCAAUGCUUUCCAAAUCCUGAGGAAAAAUGAUUUUCCACCCAUAACUCUUUCUCCCACUAAUGGGGAUAUGAGUGUGGGCGUAGGAUGAAGGCAUGUCUCCGCACACAGGGGCUCACGCUUUCUCUCUCAUAUUUUUAGGAAAUUUAGUAGAGAGUGUACUCUACUAAGAUAGGGGGUAAACUAAGGAAACUUUAGGACAGGAGCCGUGCCACAGGCCAGCAAACGUGACCAAGAAAAGAUGGAACUCAGGCUAAUCUGAGCCGUCUGGGAAUUUAUGCUCCUGUUGGAGAGAACACAGAGAAGCGUCGAGCCCACAGUCAAGUAAUACCAGCACAGAUCUCCAGAGAGUUAUUAUCUUUAGGAAAACAAAAAGCACUACGGGAACAGUCGUAUAAUCCCACUGCAUGCUACGGCUUAAAUCUGAAUUCUCUUUACGCAGCAACGCUGAGCUAAGCAAACAUUGUUUUAAAGCUGUAUUGGGAGCAUAAGUGUGGAGGGCUAUACAGGGGUUUGAUUUCCUAUUUUGGAAAGUAAUACCUAAAACUCAAAAACUGAGACACAGCCAUGUACACCCAUUAUGCUCAAUAGGAAAGCAAACACCACAAACAAACAGCAGAGAGAUGAAAGUGACUAUAGUGGAGAAGAUGGAGCAGGGGACAGAGGGAGAUGGGGCAAAGGAUGACUUUUCUUGUUAUAAGCCUGAUGGAAUGACUUAAAAUUAUAAACAUGUAUA